CAGACAUUAGGCACACAAAUCAAAACCUUACACAAAAGAGUAAGGUUUUGAUUUGUGUGCCUAUUGUGAUCAUGCACCAGUUUUACAUAAAGGUAUUUUGAACAAGUAUUUUUAUAUUAUAACAUUUCUAAAUAAUUAUGGAAAUAUUACAUAUAACACAAUUUUGUAUACUUUAGCGGAAAACAAUUUGAAUCUUGUUGAAGAUAUUGAGUUAGCUCAUUUCUCUAAGAGCAAUGCAAUACUAAACACGUUAUCCAGUACAGUUAUUUUUUUAUACUUUUUUGUCAUGUGUUUAAAAAUUCACCUAACAGUAAAAGUGGUAAAAGUUACGAAUAGCAAAUCACCGAAUUACAUGUUACUCGUUUUUUUGUUUUUAAUAUUAUAUACAUAAUAUUUUUAUCAAAAAUAUACCUAAUAGUUUAUGAAUAAUAUUUCGCCGCUCUCAGUAUGUCAAGCGUGUUAUUUGAACCCCAAAACUGUAAGAAAGAAAACGGAUAUGCUAACUUUAGUAUUUGUCUUACAUAUUAAUAAUAAAAGAUUUAAAAGAGGCUAUAACAUUUUUAAAAACACUUAAACACUUGAUUUUUUUAUGUAAUAAUGUUUCUCACUCUCACAAUACUAGUAAUACUGUUUGCAUCCUAUGUGAAUAAUGCAACCUAUGUGAAUUUGAUUAUAGAAUCAGCUACUUUGAGCCGAAGUGAAAUAGACUUCAGUUUGGACAAUAACAAGGUAACAAGCCCAUUGAAGAAACAGUGUAUACAAUAAGCUAAGCCAUUUCAAGAUACAGCUGGUAAAAUAGUUUUUGCAUCAAAAACUGUACUUCAUCAUAAAAACAAUACUCUCUUUGAGAAUGGUUUAGACCCUAUCCUGAAUUCUUGCACAGAUGGGAUUAUUGUGUUAAGUGCUUUAAAUCUAACCUUUAGUUUACGCAGCAAGUUGGCUAGAAUAGCAGUCAACCAUAUUAUUCAAAAGAAAGGAUUGCAAAAUCGUCCAACUAAUGCAGAUGUCUGUGAAUCAGCAAAUGCCAUUGUUACACAUUUUCCCUCAGAAAAGC
rnacentral:lncRNA from 1 species